UACGGGGGGGGGCAAGCGUUGUUCGGAAUUACUGGGCGUAAAGGGCUCGUAGGCGGCUUUGCAAGUCGGGUGUGAAAUCCCCAGGCUUAACCUGGGAACUGCAUUCGAGACUGCAUUGCUAGAGUAUGGGAGAGGGAAGUGGAAUUUCAGGUGUAGCGGUGAAAUGCGUAGAUAUCUGAAGGAACAUCAGUGGCGAAAGCGACUUCCUGGACCAAUACUGACGCUCAUGUGCGAAAGCGUGGGGAGCAAACAGG
rnacentral:rRNA from 1 species